rnacentral:rRNA from 1 species
CGGGUGCGUAACGCGUAUGCAACCUGCCGUCUACUCUUGGCCAGCCUUCUGAAAGGAAGAUUAAUCCAGGAUGGCAUCAUGAGUUCACAUGUCCGCAUGAUUAAAGGUAUUUUCCGGUAGACGAUGGGGAUGCGUUCCAUUAGAUAGUAGGCGGGGUAACGGCCCACCUAGUCUUCGAUGGAUAGGGGUUCUGAGAGGAAGGUCCCCCACAUUGGAACUGAGACACGGUCCAA